UGAGUACGAGAUGCUACGGCAUCGAAGCAGUCUAUGUCAUACUUCCAAGAAAAGCUUGCAAUGUCAUAAACAAAUAAUGCCUGUACCAUAACCGACACAGGUGGGUAGGUAGAGUAUACUAAGGGGCGCGAGAUAACUCUCUCUAAGGAACUCGGCAAAAUGACUCCGUAACUUCGGGAGAAGGAGUGCCUUAUUUUUAUAAGGUUGCAAUAACAAGAUCCAAGCAACUGUUUACCAAAAACACAGGUCUCCGCUAAGUCGUAAGACGAUGUAUGGGGGCUGACGCCUGCCCAGUGCCAGAAGGUUAAAGAAGUUGGUUAGCAUUAGCGAAGCUGAUAACUGAAGCCCUGGUGAACGGCGGCCGUAACAAUAACGGUCCUAAGGUAGCGAAAUUCCUUGUCGGGUAAGUUCCGACCCGCACGAAAGGCGUAAUGAUUUGGAUACUGUCUCGGAGAGGGGCUCGGUGAAAUAGACUUGUCUGUGAAGAUGCGGACUACCUGCACCUGGACAGAAAGACCCUAUGAAGCUUUACUGUAACUUGAGAUUGAAAUUGGACUUUAUCUGCGCAGUAUAGGUGGGAGACGUUGAAAAUAUUCUUGCGGGAAUAUUGGAGUCAUCAGUGAGAUACCACUCUUAUAAUGUUAGAUUUCUAACUUUGUAUCAUUAUCUGGUCAAAGAACAGUUUCAGGCGGGCAGUUUGACUGGGGCGGUCGCCUCCCAAACGGUAACGGAGGCGCACAAAGGAUUCCUCUGAACGUGUAGAAAUCGUAUCUAGAGUGUAAAGGCAUAAGGAAGCUUGACUGUGAGACCUACAAGUCGAGCAGGGACGAAAGUCGGUCUUAGUGAUCUGACGGUGCUGAGUGGAAAGGCCGUCACUCAACGGAUAAAAGUUACUCUAGGAUAACAGGCUGAUCUCCCCCAAGAGUUCACAUCGACGGGGAGGUUUGGCACCUCGAUGUCGGCUCAUCGCAUCCUGGGGCGGUAGUACGUCCCAAGGGUUGGGCUGUUCGCCCAUGAAAGCGGUACGCGAGCUGGGUUCAGAACGUCGUGAGACAGUUCGGUCCAUAUCCGGUGUAGGCGUUAGAAUAUUGAGAGGAGCCUUCUUUAGUACGAGAGGACCGAGAAGGACAUACCUCUGGUGUACCAGUUAUCGUGCCAACGGUAAACGCUGGGUAGCCAUGUAUGGAGAGGAUAACCGCUGAAAGCAUCUAAGUGGGAAGCCCACCUCAAGAUAAGUAUUC
rnacentral:rRNA from 1 species